rnacentral:rRNA from 1 species
CCUACGGGGCGCAGCCGUGGGUUAUAUUUCACAAUUUUUUCCCCCCUGAUGCAGCAACGCCGCGUGAGUGAAGAAGUAUUUCGGUAUGUAAAGCUCUAUCAGCAGGGAAGAGAAUGACGGUACCUGACUAAGAAGCCCCGGCUAACUACGUGCCAGCAGCCGCGGUAAUACGUAGGGGGCGAGCGUUAUCCGGAUUUACUGGGUGUAAAGGGAGCGUAGACGGCUGGUCAAGUCUGAAGUGAAAGCCCGGGGCUUAACCCCGGAACGGCUUAGGAAACUGAGCAGCUAGAGUGCUGGAGAGGUAA